rnacentral:lncRNA from 1 species
UUUUUUUUUUUUCCUUAUCCAAUGAGCUUAUUUUGCCUCCUGGCACUCUGUAACCUUUGGUAUCUAGCAUUCUACUCCUAUCUAGGCCUGCCCUUUGCUAAGGGCUCUAAGCUCUCAGUUACAUUCUCUUCCACCUCUCCACCACCAAGCAAAGCUGAUGUGAUUAGAGGAGAAAUAUAGACCUGCUGUCAUGGAAGUAAUUUAUGGGGAUGUAAGCAUCAUUUUAAGAAAAUAUUUGCAUUUUGUAAGAGGGACCUGUAAAUCCAGUUGAACCUCUCAAGUUGGAAAGCACUGAAAAAAUCAUUUGCGAGUGAGAGGUUGCUCUGGUAUUCCUCAUCUAAUCCAAGCAGCCACUCUUAUCGCCAGCUCAGCCCCUUUAACUUCUUCCUCAUAUACCCUCCACCCUCAGCCAGCACAGGCAGCAACACAGCACCAAGCAGGGGUUUGGUGCUCAGUUUGAAGACCUUCCUAGUCCUAGAAUUAGAAGAACCUGAAAAAGAAUGGAUGUGGGUAUAUGUAUAACUGAAUCACUGUUGUACAGCAGAAAUUAUCAUAAUAUUUUAAAUCAACUAUACUUCAAUAAAGCUUAAAACAGGGAUGGCAAGGAAUGUUUUUUGGUGAUAAUUCUAUACAUUUAAAAAAUAUUGGAGUUCCCACUGUGGCACAGCAGGUUAAGGAUCCAGUGUUGUCUCCGUGGUGGCUUGGGUUUGAUCCCCAGCCCAGUGCAGUGGAUUAAGGAUCUGGAGUUGCUGCCGCUCUGGUGUAGCUUACAGCUGGGGUUCAUAUUUGAUCCCUGGCCUGGGAAUUUACAUAUGCCGCAGGUACAGCCAAACAAAACAAAACAAAAGCAAAAAAAAAAAAAAAAACCAAAACAAAAAGACAAAAAUAUCUACAUUAGUAGAUAUUUUAACUAUUAAUAUAAAUUGGGCAAUUAAGUUUUUCAUGUUUUAAUGUUUCUUUGACAUCCUGUAAAUCCUGUAAUAAAUAUUCUUCCUGUAUCUCCCUCUUGUCUUUUCUCAUUCGCUGUCGUGUCCUUGGCAUGAAAAACCUACUUCCUCUUUGAGAUCAUUCUACCAUAGCCUUUAAUUCCUUUCAUGUGCAGCUCAGUUACGUUGUGCCUAUCAAGUGAAAAAAACAAAAGCACACUCAAGCAAAGGACUCAGUUUCUAGCCUCAGCUGUACAACUCAUGGGCUAACUGAUCUUGGGCCCACCAUUUACCAUGUCUGGGCCUCAGACUUAGCUGAAAAAUGGUGAGGUAGAUUCACCUUGGGAAGGUCCUUCAGUUUCAGGAUUCGAUGAUUUAAGCCCACGUGUACACUUCUGUCAUUAAUCUUUGCAAGAACCUUGCAGGGAAGGAGAGUAAUGUUAUCCCUCUGUUGCAGAUGAAGAAAUCAGGGGUAAAAGAGGAUCAAUGGCUUUAUCUACUGUUGUACAGGCAGCAGAGCAAGUAACUAAACCCAAGAAUUAGCUGACUUUCAUCUCUUCAGAGAAAGGUAAGACACCAUUUCCCUAUACAAAGAGGAGACAAAGGGGGUCAGAUGGGUGAGAUGCUAAGGGCCACAUACAAAUUCGUAAGACAGAGCAGGAGUUUCACUCUCUUAAGACAGGGGAUUAUAACUUGUAGAUAUAUCAUAUUGCAUUAGAUCACAACGACUAAGGGAAAUUAUUAUCAUCUUCCCCCAGUGCGACAAAUCUGCUUUAGACCUUAGAUUAUUGGACAACACUUAGGGGUGGAGGGUCCCACCACACAAACUAAAAAGAAAAACGAAAUGGUUUAUUAAAACUGAUGUUUACCUUCUUCUUCAUAUAGACUAAUGAUGGUCAAUGGAUACUUAUUUGAUUCAUUUUAUAAUUUAAGAAAUACUUUUGUGCUGAUAUAUAUAUAUCGGUUCUUUAAAUUUUAGGGGACAAUGUAAAUUUCAGAAAUAUUUCUUCAUCAGUAUUCUUUUCUUUUUUUGUCUUUUUAGGGCCACACCUGUGGCACAUGGAAGUUCCCAGGCUAGGGGUUGAAUCAGAGCUACAGCUGCAGGCCUACGCCACAGCUCCCGGCAACGCCGGCUCCUUAACCCACUAAGUGAGGCCAGGGAUCAAACCGUCGUCCUCAUGGAUACUAGUCAGGUUCAUUACUGCUGAGUCACAUCAGAAUUCCCAUGGUAUUCUUGACAUAAUAUUACACACUAGUCAAGAGAACAUAUGCAUUUAUGAGUUUAAAACUCUUAUUCUAUUAAGUGGGGGAAAAACAGAAUAUGAGCACUGGCAAUGACAAUGAUUUACUUCUCCAUUGAUAUUAUCCUCUGCUUUUUGCUGUUGUUGUUAAAUUAAAAAAAAUUAUUAUAGUUGAUUUACAAUGUUGUGCUAAUUUCUGCUGUACAGCACAGUGAAGCAGUCAUACAUAUACAUACAUUAUUCUUCUCAUUCUGUCUUCCAUCAUGUUCCAUCCUCUAUUUUUAUCAGGCCCUUCAGGGGGCAUGACAGUAGUUGGAUGCAUAGAACCCUGAACUAGUAGUCAGAUGAUCCAAACUCUAUUCCUGGGACUUGCACUGACUCACUCAGUGACCAUGUGCCUAUCGGCUGAUCUCCCCUAAGUUCUCAGAUCUUAGAAUUCAGGGGUGUUUUCUAAUUUGCUAACCUCUGAGAAAUGCUGCGAAUGGAGGUGCAACUGUGUUUGGAACAUGUAAAAAAGGACUGGGGAGAGGGAAAGGCUUAAGACUUGAGUCUUAGUCCACUUAGCAUGAAACAUAACCAGUAUUUUUUAAGAAAACUUAACUUUCAUUUCACUCUUUCUGAAUGCCAUCUUCUUCUCCUUCAGCCUUGCCUCUCUCCAUGUGGUAGGAAAAUCCGUCCAUGUUACAGAGGGAAAAGGGGAAUGAAGAAAAGGAGGGUUUGUUGUCCUUCAUCCCCUCUGACCUCCGUAAGUCUGAUCCUGCGCCUCCAUAACGAUCUGGCUGAAUGUUAUUUGGAGAGCUGGUGCAGUUACCCAUUAAAUGGGAGGAGGAUUUCUUCACUUUUGAGAAAGGGAAAAGCCCCCCCAUUCUGAAAUUCUCUUCAGAGCUUACUUCACUUCUUCCAUUUUUUCAACAAUUGCUGAGUGUGGCAUAUUGUGCUCAGCUCUGAAAAUAACAAAGACAGUGAAGAUAUGGUGUCUGCACCCAAGGAAGAGCCCCAUAGGUCGGAGGCACUAGAUAUUUCAACAAUUUAUUACACUACAAUAUGUUGAGUGUGAAGAUGAACGAAGACAGCAUAGAGGAGACUGGAACAUCUAGAAAGAGUCAAAGAAGUGGUUUAUCAGUUAACCUUGGUGAGAAAUGGAAGCAAGGGAAAAAAGGUCAUUUUCCAGACACGGUUUUAUAGAAAUAGGUUUUUUUAAAGGCAAAAAUGAAUAUUUUAUCAAGCUGAAUUGUAUACCAGGCAAUAUGCCAGGCUGUCGUAAAGUCUAUAAAAGCAUUGUUUUGGAGUUGGAUAGAUAAAAUUACAAUUCCAUUUCUGGCUAAAGGUGUGACCUUGGGCAAGUUGCCUGACCUCUAAAAAUCUGUUAAUUCAUUUAGAGAAUGGAGAUUAUAAAGGAAUCUAUACCUCAUAUGGUUAUAUGAAGAUUAAAUGAAAGAGUACACAUAAGCACUCAGCCCCGUCUUUGGAACCUGGUAAGAGAGUAGGUGUUCUAUGAAUACUAAUUAUUAUGAGGUAUUUUAUGUACAGCUUCUCACUGAACCCUUGCAAUGAUCCAGUGGACAGGCAUUUCUAAAAUUAGGUCAAUGAAGAGGAUAUAGAACACAGGAAAUGCUAGGAAGAUAGGUUCCAAAGCAUGAAAGAUUGUAUUGCCAUGAGAAGGAAUCUGGAUUAUAUGUAGCAGGCAAUGGAAUCUCUUAGAGGAUUUUUAAAAGAGAAUCAAUGAGUUCUGUGUUUUAGAAAGAGCAUUAAGAUGGCAGUGUGGAUGAUAGGUCGGAAGGGCAUUGAAGAAGAAGGUUAAAAGUUCGGCGAGGAAUUCUUGUAGUGAAUCACUAUGAAUGAUAGUCAUACAGGAAAUCCCAAAGGCAACUCUAGGGAUCUUCAUAAAAAAUGGUUGGCAGAUGCCCUGCUCCUCCAAUGUCCAUCUCUUCCUGCAUUCUGUCCUGGCAAAAGACAUGCUGAUGAAUUGUACUCGCACUGAAAAUCUUUUCAGAUUGGUUGUCUUUGUGAGCAAGUUGCUUAAGGUGUUAAUCAUCUCUGAAAAGGCAGCAAGUCAGUCCCCUGCUGGUGUUGGGAGAACUAAAUGUCAGUGUGACUGUUUCUCGGCUGCAGGAGAGAAGCAGAAAGCAGAGACUAAAAACAUUCAGGUAGUUUACUACCUUUCUGAUUUUUGUCAUCUUCAUAUGCUGAUGACCAUCAUCAAUCUACUACACUGAUUCAAGAGGAGUAAAUCACACACAACGGUAGAGUUGAUGUAAAAUGCAAACAGAAUAUAUUUCAUUCCACCAUUGAUUUACCACCACAUAUUUAUUAGUGCUUCAUCGCUUUCUAUUGGAAAAAGCCAAUUUUCCUUAUCCCAGCAUUUAAUGUUUCCACUCUAAGGCAACAGUCCCUUUCCACUAUUUUUUGCUGAAGAUCAUCAAUAGUAAAAUGUAUGCUUGGAAAGAGAAAGGACUGCAAAAGAAGUUUAAAACAUGUCGAUGGGCACUCUUCUCUCAAAAUAACAGGAGCUAGGUAAUUCAGAAGGACUACUCUGUUAGAUACCUGCAUCUGAAUAUACACCUUGUGAAAAAAGUAUGGGAAACCAAGUUUUCUUUUGAAAUACCUGAAUUUACUAUUCUGAAUCCUUCCCUUUCUGCACGUGCUCCAAUCCAAUAUUGAUUAACAAGACAUGCUUUGUUGCCUUGAUUUCGGUUGUUUGCAUAACAUGAACAUAUACUUUGACUUGAAUGCUGCUGCUGACUUGAGAGGUAACUAUCAGAGAAGAGUGAAGACACGGAGGAGCAAAAAAGUCUGAGCAUUUUCUCCUUUUCUGGAUUUGCAAUUUUAGAAUGAUAAAAGAAAAUACGUGUCCUAGCUCUUUAAAAAGUUGAGUACAUUAAAAAUCAUACUGCAUCUAAAAUAUGUUAAUUUGGAGUUCCCUUUGCGGGUCAGUGGUUAACAAAUCCGACUAGGAACCAUGAGGUUGCAGGUUCGAUCCCUGGCCUCGCUUAGUGGGUUAAGGAUACAGCAUUGUGGUGAGCUGUGGCGUAGGUCACAGACACGGCUCAGAUUCUGCAUUGCUGUGGUUCUGGCGUAGGCUGGCUACAGCUCCAAUUAGACCCCUAGCCUGGGAACCUCCAUAUGCCGCAUGUGUGGCCCUACAAAUACAGAAAAAAAAUUAAAAUAUGUUAAUUAUUAUAUAUAUUUAUAAAUCAUUUAAAAUAUUUUUACAAUGACAAUUAGCUGUUAAUGUUCUAAAGAAUUUUUGAAACUUCGCAGUAUUAAAUUUAUUAAAUGUGUUUGCAACUGAGAAACAGUGACAGGAUGAUAGUGAAUAAUAACUAUAAGAUCUUUUCUUCAAGUUUAAGACUUGAUCAUAGUGGUUGUUUUUUGAUAAUUAAAAGGAUUUACAGCAUUAAAUCAGAAAAGCAGCUUCCUAGACUUGGAGAAGAAAGUAGAAGGGGGAAAAAGACAUCCUUAAGUGAAACAAAUAAAUGUGUAAGAGAUUUUUUAAAAAAAAUAAGAAAAUGAGAUACUUUCAAAGUAAAAAAAAAAAUUACAACCAAGAUUUAAUCAUCCAGAGAAGGAGGUAGGAAACCAUAACACCAAUGAAAAAUUAAUUAAUUAAAAAAUAUGAAAAAGGACUGAAUUAAAAGAGAAAAGCCACCAAACUUUAAAAUCAAGGCUAUGUCAUACAUCUGUAGAAAUAAAUUGAAAAUAUAAUAAGCAAGGGAGUUCCCAUCAUGGCUCAGCGGUUAAUGAACCCGACCAGCAUCCAUGAGGAUGUGGGUUCGAUCCCUGGCUUCGUUCAGUGGGUUAAGGAUCUGGCAUUGCUGUGAGCUGUGGUGUAGGUCGCAGAUGUGGCUUGGAUCUCACAUUGCUGUGGCUGUGGUGGUGUAGGCCAGUGGCUAUAGUUCCAAUUGGACCCCUAGCCUGGGAACCUCCAUAUGCCCCAGGUGUGGCCUUAAAAGACCAAAAAAAAAAAAAAAAAAAAGAAAGAAAAUAUAAUGAGCAAAUAAGCAAGAAAUAGGAAAUACUAGUUAAAAUAUAAUCCUCAAAUCUACAAAAGGUAAAAGAGGUUUUCUUAGCUAACACAGUAAAUAUCAUACCUCUACAUAAUAACUUUAAAAAUUAAAAAAGAUGAAUAUGUGGUUAACUGCAUAACCCUGACUUGCCUCUAUGCUUAAUAGCUCCAACCCUGCAGUAUUUCUAAUAUGUUCAGAUUGUUUUUUCAGUUUUUAGAAUUUUUUUUGCCUUGAAAGAAUUUAUGAUAUGAAACACACACCCACAUACACACACACUAUUAAAGCAAACUGAGGUUUCCCUUUCUUUUAUUGUAGCAACUCUUUUCUGUCUCUCUUUUUUUCAGCCAUAAGGAAACUUCAGUUACACCAAAGCCUCAAGUUCAUUUCAAAUCUGGGUUAAAAGAUGGUUUUGAUCUUUGGACAAUUCUGAUGAUGCACGUGGAAUCAGAUCACAUGUAUGUGUGUCUGUCUGGGGAGGGGUGCUUUUGCAGGUCCCUUUGUUAGGCAAGUUUUACAAACCACAGCUUCCUUCACUAUCAAAUGGAAGUAAUGUAGCCCGGCCUACUUCAUGGCGAUGCUAAGGAAUUUUAAGUAAAAUGAGAUUGCAUGUAAAGGUUUUUACAAAUUAGGCAGUACAGAAUAAAUUUAAGUUAUUCUCUAUUAGAAAUAAUAGCAGAUUUACCACUGAGUUACAUUACAGAAGAAUAACAAUUCCAACACUCUUAGGCAUAAACGAAGGUUAAUUAUGAGGGUACAUCAUGCUGCUGACUAACUCUGAAACUUCAUCUUGUACCAUUACUACUCUGUCUAGUCCUGUUCUUUCUGUUUUGUGAAUAAACCAAAUUUGUUUUCACCUCCCAGCCUUUGCAUUUACUACCUCUCUACCUGGUCAGCUAUUCUCCUGGCUCCUUUUAUGGCGUCUCAUUAUAUGAGUCUAUCUUGAAUGACACUUUCUCAGAGAGACCCCCAGUAUUAUACAAGCUAAUUAUGCUGUGCCCCCACCUCCUGACUCUAGUUUCAUGUGAUUACAUUAUUCUAUAUUGCUAUUAUUAUUUUCUUAAUAUUUAUUAUCUAAAUAUCUUCUUCCUUUUUUCUUUUCUCUUCUUUUCUUUUCUUUUCUUUUCUUUUUUU